GCCCAUCCCCUAUCCCUUCUAUCCCUUCCAUGUAUGAGGAACUUGGCAUAAUACACUCACCCCCUGUCCCUUCAACGUGUAAGUAGUGCUCUCUUUUUUAAAGUUCACAGUAGUUAGUUGGCCCAUCCCCUAUCCCUUCCAUAUAUGUAAGGAACUUGGUAUAAUACACUCACCCGCUGUCCCUUCCAUGUGCCCCAUGUCAAAGUUGUGCUCUCUCCGUUUUUAAGUCCAAUAGUUGGUUGGCCCAUCUCCCUUAUCCCUUCCAUAUGUAAGGAAAUUUGGGCAUAAUACACUCACCCCCUAUCCCUUCCACGUGUAAGUAGUCCUCUCUCCUUUUUUAAGUCUAGUAGUUGGCUAGCCCGUUCCCUAUCCCCUUCCAUAUGCAAGGAACUUGGUAUAAUACACUCUCCUUCUUUUGGUCCUACUACACCUCAAAACGUUCCACGUGUAGAAAAGCCAUGUGCA
rnacentral:lncRNA from 1 species